CUAUCGAGUGAGCCGGUGGCUCAAUCAUGGCUCGGAGCUGGAUUAAUCUAAUAACGGGGCUCUUCUCCACUCUUUGUUAGAUAGCCGGGAAGGAAGCAUGCUGCCGUUCCAUUGCUAGCUAAGGUCUACCUAGUCUAAACAAUCCCAACAAAUCAAAAAUCUGAGAUCAAAUAACACUUUACUUUUUGAAGCCAAUAAUUAACUCCGACAACUUCUCGUAUAUUAUGAAAGCGUGACAUUGUAUUCGAGGUGCAAGAAGGGUGACCACUGUAGAAAUUGAAGGGUACCAUCUUUCCCUCCCGUUUCCCCUCCC
rnacentral:lncRNA from 1 species